UUCAACUUUUAAACUUGUCUAUGAUUAAAGCAGUGUUUGGCUUUGCCCAAUGUCUGUGGUCCAUCAAAAUCAUCAGUUUGAGUGUUGGAGAAGCGAUCACCAAUCUACAUUUUCAUUCUUUUGAUGGUGGUGGAUGUUGGUUCGAUCAAUACAAAAUAAAAUUCAAUGGGUUACUUCCUUUUGACUUUUGAGAGAAAGAUAUGGACUUGAACUCUUCUCUGCAUGCCAGCAUUGUUGAAAUUAAGAAAGAUUAAUUUAGCAGUUGAAGGAGCAAGACACACAGUGUGGCAUUGAAUCGAGCUUGGGGGAGGCCCUUUAUCCAGGUUUAGGAUGCAAGCCAAGGGAGAGAGAUGCUUUAUGGAGAAAGUAUGGUAAUUAUUUCAAUGAGACUUGAUGUUAUGAAGAACAUCUUACAUGGAAAUGGCUAAUUGAUAAAAUUAAAGGUCCAUUUUAUAUUUACAGAAUUAUAGGGGCGACUGAUCUGGCACUGAACUUCUCCACUUUUGGCAGGAAUUGGUAGUCUGAGUUACUGUUGGCCUUUUCAUCUUGUUGGGGAUUUGUGUUCAGAAUGAACAAGCGGGAGUCGUGAGAUUCUAGCAUGACAAUAGACUACACUGAUUUUCGGUAUAUUAAAAACAUUAAGAAUGUUGAUAACAGACUAGUACAAUAUAAGGCAUUUGCAUCUGGCAAAUUUACGUGAGAGUUUUUGAAGAGGUUGAUGAAGUUCACAUUGUGAAAUUGUAUAUGGUACUUACUAAUUCAUAAUCUUAUUUUGAUGCUGAUCUCAUGUUAAAUAAUGUGAAUGCUUUUUGUUACAGAUUCGGCAUCUACUAUAUUUCAUGUUGAUAUAUGUGCCGUUUCAAAACUUCAGGCCCCUGUGAUAUAUAUUCAGUUUAGAGUUUUAGCAGAGUUGCAUUUGUAGCCAGUGGCAGUUCUCAGAGAGGCCGUGCAGAAAUGUGGUGGAAGGAUGACAAAUCCUGGGUCCAUUAUGCUUAAAUUAAAAUGUGGUCGAUUUAUUUACAUUUGAUCAGCUCCUUCCUAUUGCUUUAGAUGCUGCUGCUGAAGAUGUCACUGAAUUAGUAAAUUUCAGCAAUUAAAGGGGACACUGAAGACAUAUUGGUCGGAAAGGUAUUUGCCAGUUCUAUAUGCCCCCAUCCUUGCUUCUUAGCUAAUUACGCGUAUAGGAGGUCAACUGAUCCACUUGAACUAUAAUGGAGAAAGCACAUUCACAUUAGCCAAAAAAAGGAACAUUUUAUAGAGGUUCUAGUUUUGUGUCAUUAAACAACUUUUCAGUAGUGUUUUGUUCCUAAAACUCAGUAUGUUUUUUUUU